CCCGCGUUUGCCAGAGAUUCUGUAAUUUGAACUUGUGGAAUGUUUUGCUGCUGAAUAUAAUUUUCAACAAGUGGAAAUUCCAAACUUUCAACCAAUUAACAUGCUUAGAAUAUAUCACGUGUUGUAGUAAUUCGAUCUGUAUGACACAUUGACAACAAGCGCCAAGUUCGAUCUUUUGAGAGCAAGCAUUCAAAGGAGAAGAUUUUUAUUCAAAUUUUCUAUUAUAAAGUUCGAAAGACCUAGUAAAAUACAUGGAAUUUGAAAGGUAUGUCUAUUGUGUAUUUACUCAUUUGUAUGCGGAUAGUUACUUGACUUACUGUAGUUAUAUUUUUAUUCAAAUCGAAGGCCUGUAUUUUAUAUUAGUCGCUUCGCCGCCGAUUCACUGAAGGCAUCUGGACGUUCAGUUGUAAAUUUUCGAUUAAUUUCUAUUAGCAGAAGUCUAUAAGUCUAAUCUACAGUCUCCACGUAUAUGUGUUGUUAAGAAAAUCGUAUAGCUUAUUUGUGUGAUAUGCAUUUGUAUGUUGUAAUUUUCUGUUAAAUAUUUGCUAUAAAGAAGAUGCUUGUGAUGUAAUACUUAGGGCUAGUGUAUGUAUAUCCACACCGGACAAGCUUGAAAAAUAUGCCUGUCCAUGGUGGGAAUCGAACCUACGAGCUUUGGAAUACUAGCCCAAUGCUCUGCCAACUGAGCUUUUGAUACCAAUGUAAUUUAGUAGUCAUGAUAUUUUCUGUGUUGAUGCAAUGUACUCAGGUGAAUAUAUGCUUGUGAUGUUACUCUGAGACUCAGAGUAUUAACAUCACAAGCAUAUAUUCACCUGAGUACAUUGCAUCAACACAGAAAAUAUCAUGAUGAGUGUAUAUCCACACCGGGCAAGCUUGAAAAAUACGCCUGUCCACGGUGGGAAUCAAACCUGUGGACAGAUUUAGAACUAGAUUCUGUUCUGAUUAAUAUCACAUACUCGAACCACAGUUAAGGACUUUGCUCGAACCGAUCUGACCGCAUAGCUCAGUUGGCAGAGCAUUGGGCUAGUAUUCCAAAGGUCAUAGGUUUGAUUCCCACCAUGGACAGGCUUAUUUUUCAAUCUUGCUCGGGGUGGAUACACACUCAGUGUAAUAUCACAAGCAUCAUAUUCACCUGAGUGCAUUGCAUCAGCACAGAAAAUAUCAUGAUGAGUGUAUAUCCACACCGGGCAAGCUUGAAAAAUACACCUGUCCACGGUGGGAAUCAAACCUGUGGACAGAUUUAGAACUAGAUUCUGUUCUGAAAUAUCACAUACUCGAACCACAGUUAAGGACCUUGCUCGAACCAACCUGACCGCAUAGCUCAGUUGGCAGAGCAUUGGGCUAGUAUUCCAAAGGUCAUAGGUCUGAUUCCCACCAUGGACAGGCAUAUUUUUCAAGCUUGCUUGGGGUGGAUAUACACUCAGUGUAACAUCACAAGCAUCAUAUUAACCUGAGUACAUUGCAUCAGCACAGAAAAUAUCAUUUGCUAUAACGUUGACAUGUGUACAGUACUUUUAUAUGGUAUGUGACUUGUUUGAAAUGCAGUCACAUUAAUGGCAUAUAGACAGCAUUGCAAUAGCCCAUCUCGACAUCUCCCAAUAUUACCCAAUGCAUGGCAUGUGCUUGCUAUGCCUAUGGUAACCCUCCUAUCGGUCAGCCUAAAACAUGUGAAAGGGGCUGCUUAUAUAGAGGCGAGCCAGCCCAGGUAACUUGGCUAUAGCUUGCUUUCCCUGGACGAAUGUCUAUUUACAUGUCUUAUGAGCCUCUCUAGAUGGGCUCAUGGGCUACGCUCGCCAAAACAAAUCACCCAGACUGAGUUGUGUAAUAGCAGCACAUUUUCAAAUAAAGUAAAUCAACAUCAUACUUUUGCAAACAGUUUAGAAAUGUAACUGACAAAAACAAUCACAGACUGAUAUCUUUUAAUGUUGAAAUUGAUUGGGAAAUGUCAUUUUAUUAGAAGAUUGCAUGUAAAAUUUAACUGAUGGACUUGCAUGACAUGCUUGAUUGAACAGUCACACUACAUGCAUAUUUUACAUCUUGUAAAUAUUCUACAUUGAACAGAAUGUUAACCCUUUAUGUGACAUUUUACUCAUGAAGGAGAGAGGCUGCCAUUCAAUGGGUUAAAGCCUUUCUUUAAUUAAAUGGAAAUUUUGAACAAUAAAUAUGUAACAAUUAUACAUACUGUGCCGGGAAUGGAACCUUCUGCCCUGUGGUUCUGAACAGCUCUUUAACAGCCGAGAGACACUCAAGCCCUGAGAGUCCAAGCCCCAAGAGUCCAUCAAGCUAAUUAGAGUUCAUGUAUAUAUGAAUUGUAAAUGUUCACAGUAAAAUUUUAAGCAGAACAGCAUGAAGCUUUUUAUUUAGGUUUGGAGAAUACAUUUUUGCAGUGUGUAUGUAUGCAUGUGUAAAUAUUUAUCUCCUUUUGAUUUUUGUAGAGUUGGAAAACCGCUGUAUUCUUGCAGCAUUUGCCUGCCUUUGAAAAGGCAGCAAGCAAACAAAUUCCAGGGGAGCUAUUUUUCGAAGUUGUGAAUGUAAGUCAAUUUUGUAUAUUUUAUGCCAUUUAGCUGAUUAGUGAUGUCAGAACUUAUUAACCCUUUAAGCUGCAGAGCUUCUCUAUUGACAAGCAAAAUCGUCUGGCAUUAGACAAGUAGAAAAAAAAUGUAGGGCAUGCUGGAGUGCAUUGCGGCUUAAUGCGUUAAUUAUAGACAUUGUCAGAUUUUUUGGUUAAAAACCAUUAAGCUGCAGAGCUUCCCUAUUGACGAGUAAAAUCGUCUGGCAUUAGACAAGUUAAAGGGGAAGUCAAGUCCGUAAUGUAAACAAACGGUUUGUUUACAUUUUGAACUGCUGUAUUUUUUAAAAUAUGAUGUACUGUCUGAAUAUCUAACACCGUUUUGGUUCGCUAUACUUCUAAAUGAGUAUGAAAUAGAGUUUAUGUUCAGAAAAAUUCGAAAUUUGGGCAAUGUUCACAUUAGAGGUCCUCACAUUGUUAUGAGCAGAACCGAUGCGCAGAAUGGACUUGACUUCCCCUUUAAAAAAAAACAAGUAGGGCGCGCUGGUUGUUGUGCAGUACAGUUGCAACAUGCAUGCACAUACAUAGGCUACCUGGAUAUAUUUGGUAGUGAUGUUAAGUUUCCUUGUAAGAUCCUUAAUGUUGCAUGCAUAUAGAAUAUAUUCUCAUUUUUUGUUUGCAGAGUGAUUUUGAAAUCCAGCAUACUGAGAG